rnacentral:tRNA from 1 species
GCCUGGGUGGCUCAGGCGGUUAAGCAUCUGACUUUGGCUCAGGUCGUGAUCUCACAGUUUGUGGGUUCAAGCCCCAUUUCAUGCU